rnacentral:rRNA from 1 species
GGAGUGAACGCUGGCGGCAGGCCUAACACAUGCAAGUCGAACGGCAGCGGGCAGUAGCAAUACUGUGCCGGCGAGUGGCGGACGGGUGAGGAAUACAUCGGAAUCUACCUUGUCGUGGGGGAUAACGUAGGGAAACUUACGCUAAUACCGCAUACGAACCAUGGUUGAAAGCGGCGGACCGCAAGGCGUCGCGCGAUUGGAUGAGCCGAUGUCCGAUUAGCUAGUUGGCGGGGUAAAGGCCCACCAAGGCGACGAUCGGUAGCUGGUCUGAGAGGAUGAUCAGCCACACUGGAACUGAGACACGGUCCAGACUCCUAGGGAGCAGCAGUGGGAAUAUGGACAAUGGA